rnacentral:rRNA from 1 species
UUGACUCGAUAGUAGGUACCCGUGACUAAGCAUAUAAAA